CCACCAAGCCGGACGUAAUUUAAAUUAGGUCCUAUGGGACCGCCUCGUCACGAUAACUUAUUUAAAGUCCUAUAUCCGCUAGUGCCUUUGCUUCAACUCGAGAGAAGAGGAGGAGCUCUUUUUCUCUGCUUCCCCAUCACUCUCU
ensembl:ncRNA F55A4.11 ncRNA